AUAGUAAAUUCUAAAACUAUUUCCGGAAGUGGCGCAAAAUUCCUGUGCCAACUUGUAUGAAUUUAAACAGACAGCGAAAGUUGUUUAAAUUGCAGUUCAAGAUAACGAUACUACUUUUAGAAACACAUCUGCUAACAAAUGGACUCGUAGGCACUUGUUUCGCUGCGAAACCUAGCGAUGAAGAUUGAAACUGCCGGUCUUUAGCAGGCACACCAGAAAUACGACGAAGAAUGUAUGAAACAUACUUCCACCAGAGAUACAGUAGCUAUAUAAUGACGAGAUUGGUCUCCGAUAAGCUGGCGGUCUGCCAAAAUACCUUUGAAACUAGAUGUCAUUUAUAUGAAUUGAAUGUUCCACUGGGUAGAGGUGAGGCCACGAUCAUAGCACUGAGGGUGCAGUGCGAUUUCUGCAUGAGCUGCACUCGGAGGUCAGCGGCCUCAAUGUGGUACCUGAUGAGCUGCUUGUAGUUAAUAAUAGCCAUGUGACUCAUUAGUAUACAUAUUUAGAGAAUGAUUUACAUAACUGGCUUGUUGUGAAGGAGCAGCUAAUGCGCCAACAGGCAGGAAGCCUAGAGCGUUGGUCUUGUUACCGGAAGGUUGCAAGAUCGAAUCCCCGAACUGACCAGGUAAAAAUGUCGUUCUGCCCCUGAACAAGGCAGUUAGCCCACUGUUCCUAGUGUAGCCGAUGUGAAAUGGCUAGCAAGUUAACGGUGGUGCGGGGCUAAAAGCGUUUCAAUCGUUGACGUCACUCGCUGAGACCUGAAGUAGUUCCCCUUGCUCUGCAAGGGCCGCGGCUUUUGUGGCACGAUGCUUCAGGGGUGUCAGUUGUCUGUGUGUGCAGAGGGUAUCUGGUUCGAGCCCGGGGCGACGAAAGCUAUACUGUUAAAUUGAUGCUGUUGACCCGGAUCACUGGUUGCUGCGGAAAAAGAGGUCAAAAGUGCGACUCCGACUAGACCAACAAUACCAUCAGCACCACUCUCAACCUUUCAGGUUAUGUCGACAUAGGACUCGUUUUACUGUGGAUAUAGAUACUUUUGUACAUGUUUCCUCCAGCAUCUUCACAAUGUCCUUUGCUGUUGUUAUGGGACUGAUUUGCACUUUUCGCACCAAAGUACGUUCAUCUCUAGGAGACGGAACGCAUCUCCUUCCUGAGCGGUAUGACGGCUGCGUGGUCCCAUGGUGUUUAUACUUGCGUAAUAUUGUUUGUACAGAUGAACGUGGUACCUUCAGGCGUUUGGAAAUUGCUCCCAAUGAUGAACCAGACUUGUGGAGGUCCAAUUUUUUUCUGAGGUUUUGGUUGAUUUCUUUUGAUUUUCCCAUGAUGUCAAGCAAAGAGGAACUGAGUUUGAAAGUAGGCUUUGAAAUACAUCCACAGGAACACCUCCAAUUGACUCAAAUGAUGUCAAUUAGCCUAUCAGAAGCUUCUAUAGCCAUGACAUCAUUUUCUGGAAUUUCCCAAGCUGUUUAAAAGUACAGUCAAUUUAAGGGUGAGACACACACAGGCAGAUGAAGAACAAGAUCACUUGGAACUUCCAACCUCCAAUAGAGGCGCCAAUCAAGCCUGGUUAUAUAAUGUGCUGGAGAUCUCGAUCAUUGGAUGUACAGUGGAAAAAAUCUACACCAGAGAUGCCAAGCAGAGUCCUUUCUGGGCAACUUUGCCCUUUACGGGUGGUGGUGGAGGCCGUGGGGAGCAGAGCAUGGGGCAGGAAAGCCCCCCUCUCAAUCCUGGAGCCAGACGGUUCCACCCAGGCAUCCAACCUGGGUACCCUGCGGGUGAGGGGAUUACCCCGAGCCAUUCGGUCCCGAGAUGCCGGACCUAAGCUCUGUCACACAGGACCUCUUAAGCUCAUUUCCCAGAGCAAGAAACUCCCCACAGCAGUAGUUCAGCCACACUACAUACCUUCAAUCCUCCACACAGCAACAGGGAAGAACAGGUCCACUCUGAUAAUACCAACAAGAAAGUAGAAUAUAUUUAUUAAUAACAUAUCCUUAAAAAGAGUUACACCAUUACCAAUUCCAAUAGAUUUACUUACUAGUCAAACCUCUGCUCUCUUUUUGUCAUUCCUCCAGGCCCCAAAUCUUCCCUCCAGGGCGGUGUCAGGCCAUGGUGUCAGAAAGUCUUCCCUCCAGGGCGGUGUCUGGCCAUGGUGUCAGAAAGUAUUCCAAGCUACGUGAGACAGAUUCCUCUGUCCAGCCUCAACCAGGCCAUUCAGAAGAGUAUUUUGGGACUCGGUUGCCUCAGGUGGUCAUGCAGGGUUUCUGAUGGAGGAGCUGAAGAGGAUCACGGGGGUGGGCAUCAAAGCCCCCAUGUACUUUAGGUGUCUGACUGAGCUGAAGAGGUUGUAGCAUGUGCAGGGAGUAGGUACCAGCGCCAUGUAUAAAAUUCUGUCACAGACGCAUACCUGAUCGGAAUUAAAAUGACAUUCCCUACCUUCUUAAACCUCCCAAAUGACUCGACACUACUGAGUGAGGUCCCAUUUACUGACCAUCAUUUGAGUAGGCCUUGACUUUUUGUUGUUACAUUACAGCCUUAUUAUAAAAUUGAUUAAAUGAUUUGUUUUCCUCAUCAACACACAAUACCCCACAAUGACAAAGCGAAAACUGGUUAAAAUAAAACACUGAAAUACCUUCUUUACAUAAAUAUUCAGACCCUUUACUCAGUACUUUGUUGAAGCACUUUUGGCAGCGAUUACAGCCUCGAGUCUUCUUGGUUAUGACGCUUCAAGCUUGGCACACCUGUAUUUGGGGAGUUAAUUUUUAUUAUUCUCUAUAGAUCCUCUCAAGCUCUGUCAGGUUGGAUAUGGAGCAUCGCUGCACAGCUAUUUUCAGGUCUCUACAGAGAAGUCCGGGCUCUGUCUGGGCCACUAAAGGACAUUCAGAAGCUUGUCCCGAAGCCAGUCGUGCGUUGUCUUGGCUGUGUGCUUAGGGUCAUUGUCUUGUUGGAAGGUGAACCUUCGCCCCAGUCUGAGAACCUGCCCCAGAGUGCUCAGGACUUCAUCAAGGAUCUCUCUGCUCCAUUCAUCUUUCCCUCAAUCCUGACUAGUCUCCCAGUCCCUGCUGCUGAAAACACCCCCAUAGCAUGAUGCUGCCACCACCAUGCUUCACCGUAGGGAUGGUGCCAGGUUUCCUUCAGAUGUGACACUUGGCAUUCAGGCCAAAGAGUUCAAUCUUGGUUUCUUCAGACCAUAAAAUCUUGUUUCUCAUAGUCUGAGUCCUUCAGGUGCCAAAAGUCCAAGCUGGCCAUCAUGUGCCUUUUUACUGAGGAGUGUCUCCCGUCUGGCCACUACCAUAAAGGCCUGAUUGGCGGAGAGCUGUAGCGAUGUUGGUCCUUCUGGAAGGUUCUCCCAUCUCCACAGAUGAACUCUGGAGCUCUGUCAGCAUUACCAUCAGGUUCUUGGUCACCUCCCUGACCAAGGCCCUUCUCCCCCGAUUGCUCAGUUUGGCUGGGCGGCCACCUCUAGGGAGAGUCUUGGUGGUUCCAAACUUCCUCCAUUUAAGAAUGAUGGAGGCCACUGUUCUUGGGGACCUUCAAUGCUGCAAAGAUUUUUUGGUAACUCUCCCCAGAUCUGGCAACUUUCAUAAAUUACGUGCAUUACCACCACUGUUUGAGUGAUGCCUGCCACUAGUGGUGGUGAAUACUCUCAGCAGAAGUGGACACGUCUGUAGGCAAUCUUUUUUACACACGUUGAUUCCGACACAAUCAUCAGAACUCCAAUACAUGCAAGCCUGCCGCUGCGUACAAAGCCGUAGGCAUGUCUUUAUGCCUCCCACUGUUUGAAAAACUCACGGGUGACCAAUCUUCCACCUAGCCCCUUCUUUUUAAUGGUAUCUGUUGCUUUUAUACAUGUCUUACUCUCGCUCAAAAGACUUGUGGCUUAUUUUUUUUCAUUGGCAUGUUUCGUUUCUAAAUGUCUGCACAAGACUGAAGGUUUCACCCACGAGAGAGUAACGGUUAAGGUGAUUGGAUGUUCAUUAUUUGACGAGGCUACCUGUAUUUGACAGUGUUGUUAUUUCACUGAACACUAGAUGGUUUCAUUUUAUUUUUGGCAGUGAAACAUGGCUAGUCAGGUGACAAAAAACCCUCACCCAAAUGUAUAGCCCCCUUGGAAAAUAUAAAUGGACUGUUUGGAAAUGUGAAGAAACAUUUUUUGAUUUUUUUUAAUAAAAUGAUUUUAAAAAAGUUAAUCACAAUUUUAUUUGGCGUACCCGUGGGGGAGGAUGUCUUCCUUAAUUCACCCCCCAUAAAUGUAACGGACCUAUACCAGGAGCUGUGUCAGGCCCACCACGUCUGUUGACUCAUCCAGAUGUACCACAUAGAAUUCACUGGCUUCGCGUACCCCAGAUUGGGAAAACCUGGUCUAGCCAACAACAGCAUAGCAUGAGUGCCUCAAAACCAAUAAUGUAUAUAAACCAUGGAUUGCUGAUGCUAUGUAUUGGCCAUUGAGAGGCCAUAUUGUCACUCCCCAGUGGGAGCAGUCCUCCAUAGGGAUUAAUGGAAUUCUACAUUAUUUCAAUUAAUGUUAUAAGUACAAUUACAUGUAUCUUUGUUAUAGUGGGGACAGUAAGUAUUAAAACGUAUACUUUAAGGAACAUUUUAUAGAUGUAGAUGUUUUUAUUUACCAUGUCAAAUGAUGCAUUCGGGUGUCUAAUAUAAUAAAUGUGGCAAAAACGAA